rnacentral:misc_RNA from 1 species
CAAACUCCCAAAAGAAUUUUUUUUAAUAAUAAGAAAAUAAUUAAUCAAACAACUUAGGUUGUAAUGAUAAUCAUAAUAAUAUUGUUUAUUAUGAUUACAUCAUUAGUGUUAAUUGAGCUAGCUAGCAGUGCAAUGAUCAAAUGCAUAUUUUACAAUAUAUGAGAUUAAAAAUUUAAAUAUUGAUAUCUUCAAUUCCCUUUAAAAAAUUUGUGUGCACAAAAAAAAAAAUAGUGUUAAUUUAAUCUUUUGGUUUAAAUUAAACUAAAGGCUUGUGUUUAAUUGUUUUUAGAAAAUAGUGGGUAAUUAAUGGCUACUAAUUAAGUUUGAUAAAAAAAAAUCAUUUUCUUUGUUUAUAUGGUUACAAUAUUUUUGUACUUUAUCUGAAUACCUUAUAUUAGCAAGCAUAAUUUAUGGCUUACACCGUUAAUCUAUCUAUAUUAUAAUGCGGGCAAAGUUUUCUCUACAAUCACUUGCUAAAAAGAGUUUGGCUUAUUAAUUAAUGUUGUUAUAUUAAUGUUUCAAUUUUUUUUUUCUUGAAUAAAUUAUGUUAAAUUUAUA